rnacentral:rRNA from 1 species
GAUUAGCCUGCGUCCGAUUAGCUAGUUGGUAGGGUAAAGGCCUACCAAGGCGACGAUCGGUAGCUGGUCUGAGAGGAUGGACAGCCACACUGGGACUGAGAAACGGCCCAGACUCCUACGGGAGGCAGCAGUGGGGAAUAUUGGACAAUGGGGGCAACCCUGAUCCAGCGAUGCCGCGUGUGUGAAGAAGGCCUGAGGGUUGUAAAGCACUUUCAGUGGGGAGGAGAGGUUAUAGGUUAAGAGCUGAUGACUGAGACGUUACCCACAGAAGAAGCACCGGCUAACUCCGUGCCAGCAGCCGCGGUAAUACGGAGGGUGCGAGCGUUAAUCGGAAUUAUUGGGCGUAAAGGGUGCGUAGGUGGUUAGAUAAGUUAUCUGUGAAAACCCAGGGCUUAACCUUGGGGAGAGAGAUAAAACUGUUUGACUGGAGUAUAGGAGAGGGUAGUGGAAUUUCCGGUGUAGCGGUGAAAUGCGUAGAGAUCGGAAGGAACACCGGUGGCGAAGGCGGCUACCUGGCCUGAUACUGACACUGAGGCACGAAAGCGUGGGGAGCAAACAGGAUUAGAUACCCUGGUAGUCCACGCUGUAAACGAUGUCAACUAGCUGUUGG